GAUGAACGCUGGCGGCGUGCUUAACACAUGCAAGUCGAACGGAAAGGCCCUGCUUUUGUGGGGUGCUCGAGUGGCGAACGGGUGAGUAACACGUGAGUAACCUGCCCUUGACUUUGGGAUAACUUCAGGAAACUGGGGCUAAUACCGGAUAGGAGCUCCUGCUGCAUGGUGGGGGUUGGAAAGUUUCGGCGGUUGGGGAUGGACUCGCGGCUUAUCAGCUUGUUGGUGGGGUAGUGGCUUACCAAGGCUUUGACGGGUAGCCGGCCUGAGAGGGUGACCGGCCACAAUGGUACUGAGGUACGGCCCAGACGCCUACGGGGGGCAGCAGUGGGGAAUAUUGCACAAUGGGCGGAAGCCUGAUGCAGCAACGCCGCGUGCGGGAUGACGGCCUUCGGGUUGUAAACCGCUUUCGCCUGUGACGAAGCGUGAGUGACGGUAAUGGGUAAAGAAGCACCGGCUAACUACGUG
rnacentral:rRNA from 1 species